rnacentral:rRNA from 1 species
UGGGGAAUUGUUCACAAUGGGCGCAAGCCUGAUGACGCAACGCCGCGUGGGGGAUGAAGGUCUUCGGAUCGUAAACCCCUGUCGAAUGGGACGAAAGACUCGCGAGUGAAUACUUCGCGAGAGUGACGGUACCGUUAAAGGAAGCCACGGCUAACUCUGUGCCAGCAGCCGCGGUAAUACAGAGGUGGCAAGCGUUGUUCGGAAUUACUGGGCGUAAAGGGCGCGUAGGCGGCCCUCUAAGUCAGACGUGAAAUCCCCCGGCUUAACCUGGGAACUACGUCUGAUACUGGAGGGCUUGAGUAUGGGAGAGGGAUGUAGAAUUCCAGGUGUAGCGGUGAAAUGCGUAGAUAUCUGGAGGAAUACCGGUGGCGAAGGCGGCAUCCUGGACCAUUACUGACGCUGAGGCGCGAAAGCUAGGGGAGCAAACGGGAUUAGAUACCCAUGUAGUCCCUGAGCGGGCUGGCAAGGCGCAU